CCUUUCCAUACUAUCUUUGCUAGCAUGGUAUUUAUUGCUUCUACUUUUUCCCCCAUGUCCAUCAUCAAGGAUUUUGUAGAGAACCCUAUCAAUUUAAACCUAGGACCACUAAAGUUGAAGCCACGAACAUUACCUAUAUGCCCAACCCUGAAAAAAUCCCAAGUCCGACAGUGAUAAUUUCCUACUUGACAAAAAUGGCAAAGAUUUGAAUCCCCAAGUAGUGCACCAAUGCUCCAAAUGAACUUGCUAAUAAUUAUUUUCAAAGUGAUUAACAAUAACAAUGACUGCCUAAGAAAACCAAACGUAAAGUAAUAACCGCAUCUGGGCUAUCUGAUCCAAAUCCGUUACAACUCUUUCCAAUGGCAAAAAGAUUUUU